ACACCCGGGGUGAGAAAUCGGGAGUAAGACUGAGCAGAGCGAGCCCUCGGUGGGUUGGCACGCCGAGUCUAGAGCUCGCUGGCCUUGUGACGAGCUCCAGGCAUAUUAAGAUGCCUUUGAGCCUCAGUUUCUCCAUGCGCAAAAUGGGGUUCAGAAAUAAUGCCCAUAAAGUGCGUGGGGGGGCACACAAUAGAAACUGCAGGUGUCACGAGGAGGGUGGUGAGGAUUUCCGGGGAGCCUGGCUUCUCAGAUGGAGCUGGUGAUUGGGUGGGUUUAGUGGAGAGAGUUCUAGCUGCAUAUUCAGAAAAGCCAGCCGCUCCCCAAAGCUCCCCUCAGCCGCGCCCGAGAGAGCCUUAAAAAAAAAACUACCUAUGUGCACAGAAAAGUGAUGAGACUCCACGAUUCUCCUGCUCUCCCUUAUCUGAACCAAAAUUUGAGUCUUUGCCGAGAGGAAAGGUGAGGGCAACAAUUUUCCUUUCCGUUCUACAGCAGAGCUCCUCAGAGGUGCUAUAAAUAUAAGAGUAUAAUUAUUCUUUCUCUAAGCCUUGUGUGAAAUGGGCAUACUAGUGAUUGGUUUAAAUUAAGAAGAAAUCAAAUGUGGAGGUUCUAAGCCCGAAGAAGGGGAAAGCAGGUGGGCUUAGAGUCACAGAUCUGGGUUUGGGUGCAGGCCCCCCCCCCCCUCACUAGCCACAUGGUGGGGCUUGGGACCAGCUGACCUUCCCCCAGCUCAGUUCCUGCGCCUGUAAAAUGGGGGUGAUACCCACUACUUGUAGGACGGAGUCCGGAGGAGGUAACAGAUGCAAAAUGGCGCCCGGCACGUGGUCGGCACACCAGUGGCGUGUACCCUGGGGGGAACCAGGAACUCCAAGCUCUGCUCUGCUGUGGUGAGGCGGCAGUGAGCUUCCCUGCUGGUGCCAGGCCGCUGAGCUGUCCCGCUGGUGGCACUUGCCGCAAGCUCAGUGUGAAAGAAAGGGUGGCCAGGCCACAGGGGAGAUGCACAGAUUGUACAAAUGCCUCUGUCAACCCUUACAGGAAUUUGGACUUUACUCAGUUUCGAGCAAAAGAACCUCAGCAAUAAAUACUACCGUAUGCCUCGAAACAUUACGAACCAGAACCAAAGGAGAUCUACCUGACUUCUGAGAAGAAACAAACCAGUGGCAAUGAAAAAUAUACAACCGAGAUCAGUGAAGGGGUUUAAAUGGACAUAAUAAGCAAUUUGAUGCCUGGGGGGAAAACACGGAGAUAAUAAAUACAAAUGACAAAUAUUUACAAUGGAAGCAACAAACAGGACAUCAGUAGGCGAACACAUAAAACAUUUACACUGAGGAAAAUAUAAAAGCGAUGCCUUUCACACAUCCAGCCCAGGAGCCGACGAACAAACGAACAGCUGACCCAGCAACGCGGGAGAAUGUUAUUGUUUCAGCCUUUGAGUGAUGUAAGUGAAACAGUCAACGUGCUGCAGUGGCCCAUGGCAUGAGACAGCCAUGGUUUACGCUCGGUUCCCAUGGCAGAGCCUGACACAUCGCUCCUCCUCCCCCCGCAGGCAGAGCUGGCUUCAGUGCACCAUCUUUUCUGCUUCCUACAGCUCUAGCUCUUUCUAGGUGCUUCUCCCAGCAUUUUGUCACCUUCCCCCACCCCCCCCCCCCCCAUACCCAAAUGGUUUCUUUCCACCGUGCACAUGAAAGAUUCGGGGAGAUGACCUUCCAGCCGGAGGCUGCAACCAAAGGAGAUUGGAUUUGGGGUAUAUACAUACUAGCUGGGUUGGGGUCAGGGCAUUCCCUGGAACAAGUUAUGUUAGAGCAGAUAAAUUUAGCUUCUCUAUCUCUGGCCUCAGGUUGCUUUGAGGGAGAGCUAUAAGCUGAUAUAAAUGGAGGAUGCUUCCUUUUUUGCCAACUCACUAGAACGGGGGUCAGAACACUCAGGCCCAAGAGCCAAAUCCGGUUGGGCACCUGUUAAAUGUAAUUUUACCGGAGUGGAGCCAAACCCCUUUUGUUAUGUGUUGUCUCUGUAUGCCUGCUUUCAUGCUAUAAUGGCAGAGUUGAGUCUUUGGGACAGAAACCACAUGACCCACCAAACUGAAAAUAGUGUACUUACUAUCUGGACUUUUACAGAAAGAGUUUGCUGACCGUUGCUCUAGAAGGAGCUGGCCCAGAACACCCGUCUAUUCUUUGUAAUACUGGCCUUCUAUUUGAGUACUGGCUGCAAGAAAGGAUAAGCUUUAAUGUGAUAACCCAGUGGGAAAGAAAGGGCCUAUCUAUGGAACAUUUUGAACGAUCACAAGAACCCCAGCGCUGACCCUCUAUUAUAAUCCUCUCCCUCCUUGCCUUAGAAUUUUACUUCUGUCCCUCCGCUCUGUCUUUCUUUUGUCCACUCGGACUCUUUUCUUCGUUGCUAAAUUUCCAGUCCGGGUCUGGAAAAUCCUGUCUCUCAGUGCUUCCUGGCGGUCUCCUCCAUUUAUGUAAAAAAGCUCAGCAUUGCUCGCGGGAAAUCACAGUCUCUGGUUCUCUUCUCCACCUUUCCAUGCUCUAAACCCAGAAGCCACGUUUCCAACUUGGCCUCAUGGCAUCGGGUACAGGGCUUUAUCGAUCUGGGCUGAGGGUCAAGGAGAGGUAACAAAAUGGUAAAGAAAACCUGCCAAAGGUACUCCUCGUGUGUGCAUUUUCCUCCGGGUGUGUGGUCUGCCCUAAGUGGCUAGAAGCCCACGCCAGGCAGUUAGAUGUACAGGUACACCGUUCUUUGAUUCCUUUUAAAAUAUCACUCAAAAGAAAAAAAAAAAAAAACGCAGCCCCCAAAGAUGGGCUGUAUUUCUUUUUCCUUUGAGCUGGUUUUAAUGACCCAGUUGCUUUGUUUGAAAGCCAUUUAUUUAGACGACAGGUAUGUAGAUGUAACUGGAUAAAUAAAAAAGUGAAAUAGA